GACGAACGCUGGCGGCGUGCUUAACACAUGCAAGUCGAGCGGAAAGGCCCUUCGGGGUACUCGAGCGGCGAACGGGUGAGUAACACGUGAGUAACCUGCCCCAGACUUUGGGAUAACCCUCGGAAACGGGGCGUAAUACCGGAUACGACACUCUGCCGCAUGGUGUGGGUGUGGAAAGUUUUUACGGUUUGGGUAGUGGCGUCGCGGCCUAUCAGCUUGUUGGUGGGGU
rnacentral:rRNA from 1 species